GAGUUUGAUCCUGGCUCAGAUUGAACGCUGGCGGCAUGCCUUACACAUGCAAGUCGAACGGCAGCACGGGAGCUUGCUCCUGGUGGCGAGUGGCGAACGGGUGAGUAAUGCAUCGGAACGUAUCCUGGAGUGGGGGGAUAACGUAGCGAAAGUUACGCUAAUACCGCAUAUUCUGUGAGCAGGAAAGCGGGGGACCUUCGGGCCUCGCGCUCUUGGAGCGGCCGAUGUCGGAUUAGCUAGUUGGUGAGGUAAAGGCUCACCAAGGCGACGAUCCGUAGCAGGUCUGAGAGGAUGAUCUGCCACACUGGAACUGAGACACGGUCCAGACUCCUACGGGAGCAGCAGUGGGAAUUUUGGACAAUGGGGGCAACCCUGAUCCAGCCAUGCCGCGUGAGUG
rnacentral:rRNA from 1 species